UAGUCCACGCCGUAAACGAUGUCUAUUAGCCGUUGGGUCUGUUACGGACUUGGUGGCGAAGCUAACGCGAUAAAUAGACCGCCUGGGGAGUACGGCCGCAAGGUUAAAACUCAAAUGAAUUGACGGGGGCCCGCACAAGCGGUGGAGCAUGUGGUUUAAUUCGAAGCAACGCGAAGAACCUUACCUACUCUUGAAAUCCAGUGAAUUUAGCAGAGAUGCUUUAGUGCCUUCGGGAACACUGUGACAGGUGCUGCAUGGCUGUCGUCAGCUCGUGUUGUGAGAUGUUGGGUUAAGUCCCGCAACGAGCGCAACCCUUUUCCUUAUUUGCCAGCGAGUAAUGUCGGGAACUUUAAGGAUACUGCCAGUGACAAACUGGAGGAAGACGGGGACGACGUCAAGUCAUCAUGG
rnacentral:rRNA from 1 species